GAUGAACGCUGGCGGCGUGCCUAAUACAUGCAAGUCGAGCGAACAGACGAGGAGCUUUCUCCUCUGACGUUAGCGGCGGACGGGUGAGUAACACGUGGAUAACCUACCUAUAAGACUGGGAUAACUUCGGGAAACCGGAGCUAAUACCGGAUAAUAUAUUGAACCGCAUGGUUCAAUAGUUAAAGACGGUUUUGCUGUCACUUAUAGAUGGAUCCGCGCCGCAUUAGCUAGUUGGUAAGGUAACGGCUUACCAAGGCAACGAUGCGUAGCCGACCUGAGAGGGUGAUCGGCCACACUGGAACUGAGACACGGUCCAGACUCCUACGGGAGGCAGCAGUAGGGAAUCUUCCGCAAUGGGCGAAAGCUUGACGGAGCAACGCCGCGUGAGUGAUGAAGGUCUUCGGAUCGUAAAACUCUGUUAUUAGGGAAGAACAAAUGUGUAAGUAACUAUGCACGUCUUGACGGUACCUAAUCAGAAAGCCACGGCUAACUCCGUG
rnacentral:rRNA from 1 species